rnacentral:misc_RNA from 1 species
GAUUGGGACGAAGUCGUAACAAGGUAGCCGUACCGGAAGGUGCGGCUGGAUCACCUCCUUUCUAAGGAGCACCACGAAAAGGGUUGAGACACUGGGUCUUACCCGAGCCGUGAGGAACCGGUUGCCUGUAGUGGGCACGGUUUGGUGCACAACAAACUUUUUUGACUGCCAGACACACUAUUGGGCUUUGAGACAACAGGCCCGUGCCCCUUUUGGGGGGUGGCAUCCGGUUGCGGGUGUCGGCGUGUUGUUGCCUCACUUUGGUGGUGGGGUGUGGUGUUUGAUUUGUGGAUAGUGGUUGCGACCAUCUAGCACGCAGAAUCGUGUGGUCUCACUCCUUGUGGGUGGGGCUGGUUUUGUGUGUUGAUGUGCAAUUUCUUUUGAAACUCAUUUUUGGUUUUUGUGUUGUAAGUGUUUAAGGGCGCAUGGUGGAUGCCUUGGCACUGGGAGCCGAUGAAGGACGUGGGAGGCU